ACUUCAGCCAACAUGAAAAACAGAAAUAACAAUGAUGAAUGUCAUUAAUACAUCCACUUCUAGUGAUCCAACAGAAUUACAGCUGUCACAACAUCAUCUUCAGCUUUAUAGGUGAUCAUUGGGUCUCUCUUUGCACAGACACCAAAGGAGUGUGUUAAUGAGAAUGGGUUUUGAACGCACACAUGCAGAGCAUAAUGGAUUAGCAAACCAUCACCUUAAUCACUCAUCCGUCUCUUCAUGUUCUGUCCAGGAAGCAGUUCCGUUCUGAUGUGAUGCACAGGUGCAGAUGACACUUGCUACACUUGAUCCGGACGAUGCCCUUACAGCCAGGAUAUUUGCACCUGCCUUUCUUCUCCAUC